rnacentral:rRNA from 1 species
AUGAACGCUGGCGGCGUGCCUAAUACAUGCAAGUCGCGCGAACGGACGAGAAGCUUGCUUCUCUGAUGUUAGCGGCGGACGGGUGAGUAACACGUGGAUAACCUACCUAUAAGACUGGGAUAACUUCGGGAAACCGGAGCUAAUACCGGAUGAUAUUUUGAACCGCAUGGUUCAAAAGUGAAAGACGGUCUUGCUGUCACUUAUAGAUGGAUCCGCGCUGCAUUAGCUAGUUGGUAAGGUAACGGCUUACCAAGGCAACGAUGCAUAGCCGACCUGAGAGGGUGAUCGGCCACACUGGAACUGAGACACGGUCCAGACUCCUACGGGAGGCAGCAGUAGGGAAUCUUCCGCAAAGGGCGAAAGCCUGACGGAGCAACGCCGCGUGAGUGAUGAAGGUCUUCGGAUCGUAAAACUCUGUUAUUAGGGAAGAACAUAUGUGUAAGUAACUGUGCACAUCUUGACGGUACCUAAUCAGAAAGCCACGGCUAACUACGUG